AAGCAGAGGAAGGACGGGCGGCAAAUUCAAUAUACACACCCGCUCUGCUGUGCCGGCACACAGCCGCUGCUCCACGAGCGUUGUAUCAGCUCCCUCUCUUUUAGCUUUGCCGUUCCUCAGCGCUUCGGAUGGAGGCGCCUGCCGAGGUGGACCCGAUGGUGGCACUGGUGGCGUCGUGGGACACCUACCUUGUCCCUUCUGCCCAACUAGCCUGCUCACCGAAGGCGUCUGCGCAAGCUCGCGCCGGCGUCGGUCAAAGCACGUGCGCCUUCACUUCUGAGGCAUCACCGUUUCGCUAUCACCUCACUGAUGCAUGCCCCAUCUUCACUGCCAGCGAGCAAGACAGCAGUGACCAAGUCAGUCCAACGACCUCAGGACCGGACAGCGCGGGCGGCACACCCGCCGAUGUGCCCGCUACGCUGUCAUCCUCGUCGCUCUUGUGGCUGCUCACACUUGUGAGUCGGAACGUGGAGCUUCUGCGCGCCGCGGCUCACCUCUUUCUGCAGUUCAAUGCGCAAUUUGCCGCGCUCGUAGAGUCAAACGCGGUGAUGGUGAACGCGCUCCGCGCACGCCACCAGCACCAGCUAGACUCCUUGCUUGAGGUGACGGACAAUCAUGCAGCGACGGAUAUGAUUGUGGACUCUGCCGUCACAGAGCGAGUGGUUCUUCAGCAGCAGCAGGAGCUGGAUGCUGCUGAGCGCCGCUGUGCAGAGGCGGAGCAGCGACUGGAGGCGGAGCUGCAAGAGACGUUUUGGCGGUUUCUCACAACUUCGGCUCCGGAUGCCGUCGCGGCUGCCAAUCGCAAACAGCAGUCGCUUGGCUGGGCAAACGGAGGCGACGGCGCAGGUGCCGGCGGCAGCCCCUAUCGUGCCGAGGUCGACGUCAGUCGAUUCGCCGAGGUGCGCAAAGUCGCUUCCUCGAACCCGCGCCGUUGCAACACCGCCGUCGCUCCGUUCUCGCCCGUCCGUCUGGUGCCCGUGCGCACCAUCAAGCUGAGUAAUGAAGUCAGCGAUGCGUCCGCGGCUGCCGCGGCGUCUUGGACGCGGUCCCCAUCGAAACGAUCGCAGGAUUCAGCCCUUCAACCCAUCAUUCUGGAUAUCUCACCCGUCUCGGCACUGUCGCGCUGUCUCGGGUGCUGCAGCGGCACUCAGCUUGGCGCCAUCGCAUCGUCUGUUUCGAGCGCGGCAGAGGAGCACCUUCUCCGCCUCGCACACACCCGCCACUCUGUGCUGCUCUUCAUCGGCUCCGAGUCCGCCGCGAUGGAUGUGAUGCAGAGCUGCAAGGCGCCGGAGCUGCUGCUGGGAGCUGGGCACAGCUGCCGUGACCGCUUUCAACCCUUGGCAAACCACCCUGUUCUACGGGUUCUGUUCACGACUCGACUGUGGGGUGCCAACGUCGUUCUCUUGUGGAACCCCGCGCAGGACGCUACACUGGCUGCGGCCGCGCAGGCGGUGGUGGAGGACGCGCUGGAGCUGGCGUACGCGUGGGAUGCGGACAUGUUCUCCGUAGCGGUUUUGGAAGGCGCGCGACUGCCGAGCUACGUGGGGGCCGGCGGCCUCUCCGCUCUGGCGACGGGGGCCUCGUCGACGUCGGCGGCGUUUUUCGCGUCUCAGGCGGUUUCGAUGGAGGUCCUGCGUCAGCUGCGCAACGGUGUGACGCGAGAGCUUCUUGACACGGCUGGCACGCGCCGUGCCCGUCGGUGGCAAGGCACGGCGACAUGGAUGCAACAAGGGAUUGGUAGCACAGCUGCUGCCACGGCUGGCACUCACAUGUGCCCUCGCGCGGUGGGAGUACUCUACGCCAGCCAAUCAGCCCAGCAAGAGCAGGAGAAACAGUUGCAGCAUCAGGAGGUGUCGUGCGCCGCCUCAUCUGUUCGGCCGAACGCGGCCUCCCCGCUUCGCGGUGACAACUCCAUCGUGUCUGUCACGUCAUCGUCUUUCUUGUUCUCGCCAACUUCCCCUGCGGGCGCAUUCCGCGGCCCGUGCAUCACCUUCAAUACGCCACUGGCGAUUCGUGCCUUUCUUCCGCUGGCAGAAGAGUACUUUAUCCCGGAACAGCCGAGCUUGGUGAGGGGGUCCAGUCGCGGCGGGGGCGAUUUGCACCGCGGCGUCUCUGAAGUAGCUUCCUCGACCACCCUUUACCAAGAGGGAGGCGGUGUGCGUGGUCUGCUGCGCCGGCCAGCCUCGGCGACGGCCACGGAAGACGACGACGCCUCCUUCAGCAGCGAGAAAGAUGCGCGCUUCUCGCCAGCGAGCUUGAGUGCUACCUCCGCACCCGCUUCAUCUCCUGCUAUCGAUGCAAUGAGACCCAGCGGCAGCGGUGUCGAGGCAGGACUGCAUCGUCAACCGGAGAUGACUCUAGAGUCGCUGAUCCAGUACGCCUUUGGGGACCUGGUCGAAAUCCUCUAGGACCUGCAAGCGUCUGUUACUCUGCGUCGCGGACCAAAACACUUUACGCGGAUAGUUUACAACGGUCUUCAUAGCCAUCUGAUGAUGAGCACGUACUUGACGGCACAACAGCGCUGCAAUCCGUGAACGCGUUGGACUGCGCUGUGGAUAUUGUUGCACGAGCGGCGAUGCCGCAACUGCGCGUGCGUGCGCUCGGGUAGUGGUGCUCGCUGGGUUGCGUGCAAAUCUUAUUUGCGCAUUUUUAUAUCGCUCUCCUUGCUUCUGCUGUUGCACGUGGGAGGACUGCAAAAGUCUUCUGGUGAGGCAGCGACACGGGGUAAAGGCAGCCUCGUUGGCGCGCUCCCGCGCUCACCCCCUGUGGCUGCUUCUCCGACGCGCCUCACGCGUCUUGACGGUGUCGACGCAGUGAUGCGGAAGCGCUUGCGCAACGGAGCACGAAAGUGUCGCGGCCCUCUGGUCGUGUGCGCCUGAAGGUUUCGUGUGGGCAUCUUUUUAUUUUAGCUGUGACACAGGCGCUGUCAGGAGCGUCGUGUCGUCGACGCUUCUCGCUCUCGCUCCCGAUUAUCCUACUCUCUCUGUUCCUGUGUUUUCCGCGCUCCCAUGAUCCCUGCGGCGGCGCAGAAGCAACUCAGCAAAGGGCAGAGAGUGUGUGUGCGCGCGUGUCGGUGUUGCACCUUCGCGCACGCACCGCCGUAUCGUCGUUCUUUUCUUUGCUGUGCUUUUUCUGUCUUAGCAUGCUCGUUCUGCGCGCUUUCGUUUUCACCUCUCCGACGCCCCGAUGACGAGGUGGACACUCCUCUCGCUGCGGGCUAUCUCAGGGCCCAGCACCGCCACACUAUGGGGAGGGGGGAGCCAAGCAGCCCCUCCGCCCUCUCCGCGCCAAAUGCCGAACCCUCUCUGGGGGCGCCACGGCCAGGUGCCUACGGCGCAUGGAGCGGCCAGAGCGAUUUAGUGCCACCGUGAGGUUGGCAUUCAGGUCCUGGACGGUGUGGCCUCGGGGCGACCGGCGCCAGUGAACAAGUCUACGCCUUUCAUAUGAUUCGGCAGGGUGUUGGCGCGGUUUGAGCGUGCUUUACCCGACCCUCACGCUGCACAUAGGGAUGAAGGGCGCCUGGGCUACCCUGAUGGGGAUGCGCCAGGGGAUGGCAGCCUGCAUGAUGGGGAGCGGCUGUGAGGCCACCUGCCGAGCGGGGUUGGGUAGGCAGAGGUCGAGGCAGAGGAGCCGUGCUCGCAAGGCUGAGUCGGUGCAUCGCUGGCGCGCGCGCGUCUAGCGUUGCCUGGCCCCAUCGCAAUGGGGGGGGCGUGUGACACAGGACCAUUUGUAGGGGGAGGGAGCUGGGGGGCUGAGCGGAGUGUGACCUCGUGCUGCACGGCAGAGAAACGGAUGCGUGGUACACUGCACCGCCCCCUCCCUUCACUCUCCACACAACAAAAGGAAGAACAACGCGUUUUCAAAGAAAAACUUAAUAGCCCCCCAAAAGACGACACCAGCAGCUCUCCCUCUCAUGCACUGUCGUGUAUGCGGCUGGCCGGACCCUCACCUUCUUCUCCCUUCCUCCUGUUUUUUUCUUUGUUUUGCUUGUUCUCUUGCGUGACGGGCGGUGUGAAG
rnacentral:misc_RNA from 1 species